UGAAAAUUAUUUUGACUUAAUGUCACACUUUGAUUUACUGAUUUACUAAUAUUUAUUUGCAGGUUUAGUUGCUUUUGUCUCCAUGUUGUCCAAGGGUUAUGUCGGCCAUGAUCCUAAUAUUAUCAUGGGUUUAGCAGAGUUGUUUAACUUGCAAACUGGAUUGAAGAUUUUGAAUAAAUUUUUGUGUUCUUAAUAUGGUCACAAGUUUGUACUUGUUUAAAACCCUCAAUCAUUUGAAAAUUAUGGCGCCGACAUGGUAGAUGUCCUAGAAAAAACUGGUAGUAACUCAAUGUAGAUACACAUAGUCGAUGGAGUUACUUGCUAAUAACUGGCAAUGAGACAUAUUUGCUUCAAAUGAUGCCUUUAAAGUUUGAAAAGAUUUUUUCUAAUUCAAAUGUCGACUUUUUGUUACAUGAAAAAAGAUACUUAUUUCAACCCCUCAACUAUAUUGAUACACUUAGUAUGUGGAGUUACUUGUCAAUAGCUGGCGAUGAAACUUUUAAACGUAACGUCUUUAAGGGCUGAGAAGGUAAAAAUUAGAAGUCUGCAGACUGCAACUUAAAUCGAUUUCAACACGUUAUGGCUUCUCGAAUAUAUUUAGUUUCCGAUUGAAAUGAGAAUAAACUGAACUUAUAUAUAAA
rnacentral:lncRNA from 1 species